rnacentral:rRNA from 1 species
CCUUGAAAUACCACCCUUUAAUGUUUGAUGUUCUAACGUUGACCCGUAAUCCGGGUUGCGGACAGUGUCUGGUGGGUAGUUUGACUGGGGCGGUCUCCUCCUAAAGAGUAACGGAGGAGCACGAAGGUUGGCUAAUCCUGGUCGGACAUCAGGAGGUUAGUGCAAUGGCAUAAGCCAGCUUGACUGCGAGCGUGACGGCGCGAGCAGGUGCGAAAGCAGGUCAUAGUGAUCCGGUGGUUCUGAAUGGAAGGGCCAUCGCUCAACGGAUAAAAGGUACUCCGGGGAUAACAGGCUGAUACCGCCCAAGAGUUCAUAUCGACGGCGGUGUUUGGCACCUCGAUGUCGGCUCAUCACAUCCUGGGGCUGAAGUAGGUCCCAAGGGUAUGGCUGUUCGCCAUUUAAAGUGGUACGCGAGCUGGGUUUAGAACGUCGUGAGACAGUUCGGUCCCUAUCUGCCGUGGGCGCUGGAGAACUGAGGGGGGCUGCUCCUAGUACGAGAGGACCGGAGUGGACGCAUCACUGGUGUUCGGGUUGUCAUGCCAAUGGCACUGCCCGGUAGCUAAAUGCGGAAGAGAUAAGUGCUGAAAGCAUCUAAGCACGAAACUUGCCCCGAGAUGAGUUCUCCCUGACCCUUUAAGGGUCCUGAAGGAACGUUGAAGACGACGACGUUGAUAGGCCGGGUGUGUAAGCGCAGCGAUGCGUUGAGCUAACCGGUACUAAUGAACCGUGAGG